rnacentral:rRNA from 1 species
CGACGGGUAGCUGGUCUGAGAGGACGAUCAGCCACACUGGGACUGAGACACGGCCCAGACUCCUACGGGAGGCAGCAGUGGGGAAUAUUGCGCAAUGGGCGGAAGCCUGACGCAGCGACGCCGCGUGGGGGAUGAAGGCCUUCGGGUUGUAAACCCCUUUCACCAGGAGCGAAUCCAGACGGUACCUGGGGAAGAAGCGCCGGCUAACUACGUGCCAGCAGCCGCGGUAAUACGUAGGGCGCAAGCGUUGUCCGGAAUUAUUGGGCGUAAAGAGCUCGUAGGCGGCCUGUCGCGUCCGCUGUGAAAUCCUGGGGCUUAACCCCGGGCGUGCAGUGGAUACGGGCUGGCUGGAGGCAGGCAGGGGAGAACGGAAUUCCCGGUGUAGCGGUGAAAUGCGCAGAUAUCGGGAGGAACACCGGUGGCGAAGGCGGUUCUCUGGGCCUGUUCUGACGCUGAGGAGCGAAAGCGUGGGGAGCGAACAGGAUUAGAUACCCUGGUAGUCCACGCCGUAAACGUUGGGCGCUAGGUGUGGGUCCCUUCCACGGGGUCUGUGCCGCAGCU